CAUGCAGUCGAGCGGAACGAUGAUAGCUUGCUAUCAGGCGUCGAGCGGCGGACGGGUGAGUAAUACUUAGGAAUCUACCUAGUAGUGGGGGAUAGCACGGGGAAACUCGUAUUAAUACCGCAUACGACCUACGGGAGAAAGGGGGCAGUUUACUGCUCUCGCUAUUAGAUGAGCCUAAGUCGGAUUAGCUAGAUGGUGGGGUAAAGGCCUACCAUGGCGACGAUCUGUAGCUGGUCUGAGAGGAUGAUCAGCCACACCGGGACUGAGACACGGCCCGGACUCCUACGGGAGGCAGCAGUGGGGAAUAUUGGACAAUGGGGGAAACCCUGAUCCAGCCAUGCCGCGUGUGUGAAGAAGGCCUUUUGGUUGUAAAGCACUUUAAGCAGUGAAGAAGACUCCGUGGUUAAUACCCACGGACGAUGACAUUAGCUGCAGAAUAAGCACCGGCUAACUCUGUGCCAGCAGCCGCGGUAAUACAGAGGGUGCAAGCGUUAAUCGGAAUUACUGGGCGUAAAGGGAGCGUAGGUGGCUCGAUAAGUCAGAUGUGAAAUCCCCGGGCUCAACCUGGGAACUGCAUCUGAUACUGUUGAGCUAGAGUAUGUGAGAGGAAGGUAGAAUUCCAGGUGUAGCGGUGAAAUGCGUAGAGAUCUGGAGGAAUACCGAUGGCGAAGGCAGCCUUCUGGCAUAAUACUGACACUGAGGCUCGAAAGCGUGGGUAGCAAACAGGAUUAGAUACCCUGGUAGUCCACGCCGUAAACGAUGUCUACUAGUCGUUGGGUCCCUUGAGGACUUAGUGACGCAGCUAACGCAAUAAGUAGACCGCCUGGGGAGUACGGCCGCAAGGUUAAAACUCAAAUGAAUUGACGGGGGCCCGCACAAGCGGUGGAGCAUGUGGUUUAAUUCGAUGCAACGCGAAGAACCUUACCUGGUCUUGACAUAUCUAGAAUCCUGCAGAGAUGCGGGAGUGCCUUCGGGAAUUAGAAUACAGGUGCUGCAUGGCUGUCGUCAGCUCGUGUCGUGAGAUGUUGGGUUAAGUCCCGCAACGAGCGCAACCCUUGUCCUUAGUUACCAGCGGGUUAAGCCGGGAACUCUAAGGAUACUGCCAGUGACAAACUGGAGGAAGGCGGGGACGACGUCAAGUCAUCAUGGCCCUUACGACCAGGGCUACACACGUGCUACAAUGGUAGGUACAGAGGGCAGCUACACAGCGAUGUGAUGCGAAUCUCAAAAAGCCUAUCGUAGUCCAGAUUGGAGUCUGCAACUCGACUCCAUGAAGUAGGAAUCGCUAGUAAUCGCGGAUCAGAAUGCCGCGGUGAAUACGUUCCCGGGCCUUGUACACACCGCCCGUCACACCAUGGGAGUUGAUUGCACCAGAAGUGGGUAGCCUAACCUUUUAGGAAGGCGCUCACC
rnacentral:rRNA from 1 species